rnacentral:rRNA from 1 species
GACGAACCGUGCUAACGUUGUUCGGAAUCACUGGGCUUAAAGGGCGCGUAGGCGGGCAAGCAAGUCAGGGGUGAAAUCCCACGGCUCAACCGUGGAAGUGCCUUUGAUACUGCAUGUCUGGAGGGAGGUAGGGGCGUGCGGAACUUCCGGUGGAGCGGUGAAAUGCGUAGAUAUCGGAAGGAACACCGGUGGCGAAAGCGGCGCGCUGGACCUCUUCUGACGCUGAGGCGCGAAAGCCA